rnacentral:rRNA from 1 species
UACGUAGGGUGCAAGCGUUGUCCGGAAUUAUUGGGCGUAAAGAGCUCGUAGGCGGCUUAGUAAGUCGGGUGUGAAACCUCCAGGCUCAACCUGGAGACGCCACCCGAUACUGCUGUGGCUAGAGUCCGGUAGGGGAGCGUGGAAUUCCUGGUGUAGCGGUGAAAUGCGUAGAUAUCGGGAGGAACACCUGUGGCGAAGGCGGCCCCCUGGUUGGAUACUGACGCUGAUACGCGAAAGCGUGGGGAGCAAACAGG